GGUGGUAUGGCUCAGCAGUUAAGAGCACUGGCUGUACUUGUAAGAAGACCUGGGUUCAACUCCCAGUUCCCACA
rnacentral:tRNA from 1 species